GACGUAGGGGGCCAGCGUUGUUCGGAAUUACUGGGUGUAAAGGGUUCGUAGGCGGUGUGGCAAGUCGGGAGUGAAAUUUCUGGGCUCAACUCAGAGACUGCUUCCGAAACUGCUGUGCUUGAGUGUGGGAGAGGGUAGUGGAAUUCCCGGUGUAGUGGUGAAAUGCGUAGAUAUCGGGAGGAACACCAGUGGCGAAGGCGACUACCUGGCCUGUUCUUGACGCUGAGGCGCGAAAGCUAGGGGAGCAAACGGG
rnacentral:rRNA from 1 species